rnacentral:rRNA from 1 species
GUGAGGAAUUUUCCGCAAUGGGCGAAAGCCUGACGGAGCAAUGCCGCGUGAAGGAUGAAGGCCUAUGGGUUGUAAACUUCUUUUCUCAGAAAAGAAUUAUGACGGUAUCUGAGGAAUAAGCAUCGGCUAACUCUGUGCCAGCAGCCGCGGUAAGACAGCGGAUGCAAGCGUUAUCCGGAAUGAUUGGGCGUAAGGCGUCUGUAGGUUGUUUAAAAAGUAUUCUGUCAAAGAUUAGGGCUUAACCCUAGAUAGGCAGAAUAAACUUUUAAGCUAGAGUUUGGUAGAGGCAGAGGGAAUUCCCGGUGGAGCGGUGAAAUGCGUAGAUAUCGGGAGGAACACCAAAGGCGAAGGCACUCUGCUGGGCCAAUACUAACACUGAGAGACGAAAGCGAGGGGAGCAAAUGGGAUUAGAUACCCGAGUAGUCC